GAUGAAGAACGUAGCGAAAUGCGAUAAGUAAUGCGAAUUGCAGAAUUUCCGUGAGUCAUCGAAUCUUUGAACGCACAUUGCGCCCAUUGGUAUUCCGUGGGGCAUGCCUGUUCGAGCGUCAUUUACCCCCUCAAGCUCCGCUUGGUGUUGGGCGUCUGUCCCGCUUCGCGCGCGGACUCGCCCCAAAGGUAUUGGCAGCGGUCGUGCCAGCUUCUCGCGCAGCACAUUGCGCUUCUUGAGGCACCGGUGGGCCCGCGUCCAUCAAGCUCACCCCCCCAGUUUGACCUCGGAUCAGGUAGGGAUACCCGCUGAACUUAAGCAUAUCAAUAAGCGGAGGA
rnacentral:misc_RNA from 1 species